UACGUAGGGGGCGAGCGUUGUUCGGAUUUACUGGGCGUAAAGGGCGCGCAGGCGGCUCAUCAAGUCAGGCGUGAAAGCCCUGGGCUCAACCUGGGAAUUGCAGUGGAUACUGGCGAGCUAGAGUGCGGUAGAGGAUGGUGGAAUUCCCGGUGUAGCGGUGAAAUGCGUAGAGAUCGGGAGGAACACCCGUGGCGAAGGCGGCCAUCUGGACCAGCACUGACGCUGAGGCACGAAAGCGUGGGGAGCAAACAGG
rnacentral:rRNA from 1 species